rnacentral:rRNA from 1 species
AACGUACCCUUUGGUUCGGGACAACUCUGGGAAACUGGAGCUAAUACCGGAUACGCCCUUUUGGGGAAAGGUUUACUGCCGAAGGAUCGGCCCGCGUCUGAUUAGCUAGUUGGUGGGGUAACGGCCUACCAAGGCGACGAUCAGUAGCUGGUCUGAGAGGAUGAUCAGCCACACUGGGACUGAGACACGGCCCAGACUCCUACGGGAGGCAGCAGUGGGGAAUAUUGGACAAUGGGCGCAAGCCUGAUCCAGCCAUGCCGCGUGAGUGAUGAAGGCCUUAGGGUUGUAAAGCUCUUUUAUCCGGGACGAUAAUGACGGUACCGGAGGAAUAAGCCCCGGCUAACUUCGUGCCAGCAGCCGCGGUAAUACGAAGGGGGCUAGCGUUGCUCGGAAUCACUGGGCGUAAAGGGCGCGUAGGCGGCGUUCUAAGUCGGGGGUGAAAGCCUGUGGCUCAACCACAGAAUGGCCUUCGAUACUGGGACGCUUGAGUCUGGUAGAGGUUGGUGGAACUGCGAGU